AUCACCUGUGACGUCACUUUACUUUAGUCACUGUCACAUUGAACGAUGAAAAAACACUCAGAACACACCACAAAUGUCAAUCAAAUCUAAUCACUCAUAACCUGUGCGACAUGAAGGAACACUGCAGUACCUUCAGUGGCCACACAGGCUGACUAACGUGUGUUAGCCAUUGGGAGCCAGAGGGGCGCUGUUGUGAUCAUCUCUGCUUGAGCCGUCUCCAGUUCAACACACAAGACCUAAGUCUCGUGACACAGGCACCUCCCGUGACCUACGGUGGCCUCGGAUGGACAAACAAGGUUUAUGUUCUCGUAGUGCGUUUGUGGGACGCUGCCAGGAGAGAGGGGGAGAUGGGAUUUGUGCAGGUGUACCUAAUGUCGUGGCCGGGAGUGGUACUCACAUCUCAGGGUAAUAGUAGCCUGGCCCCGGGCCUUCAUCCUUCAUCACCUCGCCUCUCUUCGCCGUCAUGUUGCCAAAGUGGACGCCUUUGUACUUUUGGGCGCAACUCUUCUCUGCCUGGAGACGAGACGAUGAAGAGGUUGAGGACGGUGAGAAGGGGAGCAGGCAGACAAAAAAAAAAAAAAAAAGGAAGAAGAUUGUGGAGGUGGCGUGAAUGACAGGGGAAGCGAUAAGGAGAAGACAAAUGGAUGGCGAAAAAGUUCCAUUGCUUCGUUCGGGUCUUAUCUCCUUGUGGUGAGGUGAAGUGGAAAGUGAAUGAGAAGUGAAGUUGAGCCACAUUAUGUCACCCUCGUCCUGUCCUUUCGCUCUAGUUCACAGCCUUUGGAAGACUUUAACUCAAAUCUUACGAGUGUGUAAAUGUGCUCAACCCCACCCUAUUUAUCUAUGUGGUUUAUCUUUUCACUGCCAUGCUGAUGACACCAACUCUAUGUCAAUGAAACAGCUGCAUCCCCUCUG